rnacentral:rRNA from 2 species
GCAGUCGAACGAACUCUGGUAUUGAUUGGUGCUUGCAUCAUGAUUUACAUUUGAGUGAGUGGCGAACUGGUGAGUAACACGUGGGAAACCUGCCCAGAAGCGGGGGAUAACACCUGGAAACAGAUGCUAAUACCGCAUAACAACUUGGACCGCAUGGUCCGAGCUUGAAAGAUGGCUUCGGCUAUCACUUUUGGAUGGUCCCGCGGCGCUCUCACUAGAUGGUGGGGUAACGGCUCACCAUGGCAAUGAUACGUAGCCGACCUGAGAGGGUAAUCGGCCACAUUGGGACUGAUACACCGCCCAAACUCCUACAGGAGGCAGCAGUAGGGAAUCUUCCACAAUGGACGAAAGUCUGAUGGAGCAACGCCGCGUGAGUGAAGAAGGGUUUCGGCUCGUAAAACUCUGUUGUUAAAGAAGAACAUAUCUGAGAGUAACUGUUCAGGUAUUGACGGUAUUUAACCAGAAAGCCACGGCUAACUACGUGCCAGCAGCCGCGGUAAUACGUAGGUGGCAAGCGUUGUCCGGAUUUAUUGGGCGUAAAGCGAUGACGGGCGGUGUGUACAAGGCCCGGGAACGUAUUCACCGCGGCAUGCUGAUCCGCGAUUACUAGCGAUUCCGACUUCAUGUAGGCGAGUUGCAGCCUACAAUCCGAACUGAGAAUGGCUUUAAGAGAUUAGCUUACUCUCGCGAGUUCGCAACUCGUUGUACCAUCCAUUGUAGCACGUGUGUAGCCCAGGUCAUAAGGGGCAUGAUGAUUUGACGUCAUCCCCACCUUCCUCCGGUUUGUCACCGGCAGUCUCACCAGAGUGCCCAACUUAAUGCUGGCAACUGAUAAUAAGGGUUGCGCUCGAUGCGGGACUGCACAAGCGGUGGAGCAUGUGGUUUAAUUGAAGUACGCGAAGAACCUUACCAGGUCUUGACAUACUAUGCAAAUCUAAGAGAUUAGACGUUCCCUUGGGGGACAUGGAUACAGGUGGUGCAUGGUUGUCGUCAGCUCCUGUCGUGAGAUGUUGGGUUAAGUCCCGCAACGAGCGCAACCCUUAUUAUCAGUUGCCAGCAUUAAGUUGGGCACUCUGGUGAGACUGCCGGUGACAAACCGGAGGAAGGUGGGGAUGACGUCAAAUGAUCAUGCCCCUUAUGACCUGGGCUACACACGUGCUUCAAUGGAUGGUACAACGAGUUGCGAACUCGCGUGAGUAAGCUAAUCUCUUAAAGCCAUUCUCAGUUGGGAUUGUAGGCUGCAACUGGCCUACAUGAAGUCGGAAUCGCUAGUAAUCGCGGAUCAGCAUGCCGCGGUGAAUACGUUCCCGGGCCUUGUACACACCGCCCGUCACACCAUGAGAGUUUGUAACACCCAAAGUCGGUGGGGUAACCUUUUAGGAACCAGCCGCCUAAGGUGGGACAGAUGAUUAGGGUGAAGUCGUAACAAGGUAGCCGUU